rnacentral:lncRNA from 1 species
AUUUCCCAUAAGACUUCUUUGGAAAACUCUAUUUACGGAGAAGGAUUAAUAAUCAAAUGACAUAAUGGAGACUCAUCCCGACCAGCAAGUUAGGAGAAGACGGCUUAACAAGAGCAUCUGAUGUUCCCAAGUUCAUUGGAGACGAGGCAGAGGAAAUACGCGCAGAGGGAAGGCUAAUGGCCCAGAAGGAAUGCCGUGUCACGGACAAGGCCAUUAGCUCAACGGUGUUCACCUGCCCGUCCCACAGCUGUGCAAUUACUUAUGGGAGAAAUAAAAAUGGCGGUGUCA